rnacentral:rRNA from 1 species
UACGAGAGGCCCAAACGUUAUUCGGAAUUAUUGGGCGUAAAGAGCUCGUAGGCGGUUUGUCGCGUCUGCCGUGAAAGUCCGGGGCUCAACUCCGGAUCUGCGGUGGGUACGGGCAGACUAGAGUGAUGUAGGGGAGACUGGAAUUCCUGGUGUAGCGGUGAAAUGCGCAGAUAUCAGGAGGAACACCGAUGGCGAAGGCAGGUCUCUGGGCAUUAACUGACGCUGAGGAGCGAAAGCAUGGGGAGCGAACAGG